rnacentral:tRNA from 1 species
GGGUAUAUAGCUCAGUGGUAGAGUGCAUGCCUAGAAUGUGCAAGGUCCUGGGUUCAAUCCCCAGUACCUCCA